AUUGAACGCUGGCGGAAUGCUUUACACAUGCAAGUCGAACGGCAGCACGGGGCAACCUGGUGGCGAGUGGCGAACGGGUGAGUAAUACAUCGGAACGUGCCCAAUCGUGGGGGAUAACGUAGCGAAAGUUACGCUAAUACCGCAUACGAUCUACGGAUGAAAGCGGGGGAUCGCAAGACCUCGCGCGAAUGGAGCGGCCGAUGUCAGAUUAGGUAGUUGGUGGGGUAAAGGCUCACCAAGCCAACGAUCUGUAGCUGGUCUGAGAGGACGACCAGCCACACUGGAACUGAGACGCGGUCCAGACUCCUACGGGAGGCAGCAGUGGGGAAUUUUGGACAAUGGGCGCAAGCCUGAUCCAGCCAUUCCGCGUGCAGGAUGAAGGCCUUCGGGUU
rnacentral:rRNA from 1 species